AGUGAACGCUGGCGGUAGGCCUAACACAUGCAAGUCGAACGGCAGCACAGUAAGAGCUUGCUCUUACGGGUGGCGAGUGGCGGACGGGUGGGGAAUACAGCGGAAUCUACUUUUUCGUGGGGGAUAACGUAGGGAAACUUACGCUAAUACCGCAUACGACCUACGGGUGAAAGCAGGGGAUCUUCGGACCUUGCGCGAUUGAAUGAGCCGAUGUCGGAUUAGCUAGUUGGCGGGGUAAAGGCCCACCAAGGCGACGAUCCGUAGCUGGUCUGAGAGGAUGAUCAGCCACACUGGAACGGAAACACGGUCCAGACUCCUACGGGAGGCAGCAGUGGGGAAUAUUGGACAAUGGGAGCAAUCCUGAUCCAGCCAUACCGCGUGGGUGAAGAAGGCCUUCGGGUUGUAAAGCCAUUUUGUUGGGAAAGAAAAGCAGCAGGUUAAUACCCAGCUGUUCUGACGGUACCCAAAGAAUAAGCACCGGCUAACUUCGUG
rnacentral:rRNA from 1 species